CCCGCCCCCGGCGCUGCCGCCGCGUCAGCGGGGAGCGCGGUCGGGUCCCUGCUCGCGCAGCUCACGGCACGAGCAGGUGUUGGAAGAACAGGGACGGCUCCCUUGUGCUUCGGUUUGUGAGUAAAAGCAAAGGAUAAGAUACGUUGCCACUUAAAAUGUGGAAUGAAACAAAUGUGAACCUGAAGAAAAUAAAUGCGUAAGAAGUUGAUGUACCUUUCUUGGUAAAAAGAACAAAUCCCAGAAGAACAGUAGUACAAAUGGAAAAAAAGACAUAAAAAGAUCCAGGCUCAAGAAGCUCACAUGCUGUGUAGAAUUGGUUCACAUCUGACAAGGAGCUCAGAGCAACACAAAGUAGCUGCAAGCACUUUCGUAGAAUGUUCUACCAGAGAGAAGCCUGUUCAGGAACCAAGCGUGUGACACGCUCAGAAAGCAGGUCUACAAGUUGUCUGCCCUGCAGAGAGUCUGGGAAAUCCUGCAUCCGACAUGUGAAGGGCUGCAGUAAUUCAGACAGCCUUAAGCAGUUGCUUAAAUUAUGCUACAGUUACCUCUGUGCUAGGAGAACCUGAAGAAAGAAAGGCCAAAAGCAACAGAGAUCCUCCUUCUGGCUGGAAGUUAAACCAUUUCUGGCCUAUCAGGAAAGUUGAUGCUGGUUUUCAAGAGGGUGAAUGUCCAAAGACAACUAAAGAUUGAUUUGCCCUAUUUCAAACCUUACCGUUCCUUAAUUUACUUUCUUGGGGGGCUGGGGGAGCUUUAUUUUACACAAUUUAUAGUGGGACUUAAAAGUAUAACAAUGCAAGUGGGAGUGGAGUAGCAAUUUCUAGAUGAUAAGCAUUUUCUUUGGUGUAUUAAAAAUGUUGUUACAAAAGCUAUUACAGUGUGUACUAUUAGCAAAUCUAGAUUCAAACUAAAUAUGAAAGUAGUAAAACCUGUGAGCUUGCACUGUUUGACAAAGCAAAAGAAACAAAGCUGGGUCUUAAACUCCUUUUCUCAUUCUGAAUUGAAGUGAAUCUUCAGCAGUAGCUGUAGAAACCUUUUUCUUUUAAACACAGUAUGUCCAUUUUUGAGAAGCUGAGAACUGUAGCUCUCCUUGGUUUUGUCUCUACACACCUUUCUUGUACAAGGCUGACAUUUGAGAUACAUAACCUACACAUGCACAGAUGAUACCUAAACAAGUUCACCAACUGCCAAUUCUUGGAAAUUCAACACUUAGAAGAAUAACUGUUGAUAACUUUUUCCUACUGUCUUCUUUCAAUGUAUUGACCUGUAAUUCUCCUGUGACUCUUUUCAAGCUGUUGUUGAAAUAAACAACUUUUGUUCUUCUAUCUUUCAGUAUUUACCUUGUUUAUCUGAAUGAAAUAAUUUGGAGGUGCAUUACACCUCCAUUGCACUGUAAGUAAGCUAAAUAUGAAUCUUGUUUUUAUCUUUAAAGUGUAUUCUUGUUUUUAUCUUUAAAGUGCUAUUUGUGUGCGCUUUUAUGCUGAAUGAGACUGUGCAAGUAAAGACAUAACUUAAUGAGCCUGAGUUUGUACAUGACAGAGAACUGCUCAAAUGUCCCACUGUGGGGAACUGCACACACUAUCUAUCAUUAAUCAAUGGCAAACAAGCUAAUUUUCUAUGCGUUGUUACAUUGCUAUUCAGUGUGUUAAACAGUUUCAUUAAAGCAAUGUGAUUAA